UGCCUGUUAAGAGCCAUUGAAGAGAAGCACGUAUGUUGUAGGCCCAGUGUUCAGCUGCCCUAUUUGUUUUUUAUGUUGAGGUCCCAUGAGGCUUUUCAGCAGGUGGCAUUAAUGCUCCAUCCAAUUCCAAAUGGCACACAGCCAGAAAACUGCUGAUUCCAGCAAUUAACACCUUAAAAUGGUCAACAAACUAUGGCAGAGAGAGCUGUCGGGAAAACCCAUUCCUCACACGACAAGAAGCAUCAGAUCCUGGCAAGACACAGGAUUCUGGUACAUCAGACUAAUAAGUCUUUUCAGAAUGGUUUCCUUGACUGGUCUGUGGUAUCUUUAAGGUGAGCUUUGCACUCAUGAUGAGAGAUGCAGAGAUGUAUGCUGAUUUUUGAGGUGUCCUUGCAGGGAGAAAAGCAAGCAUCCUUCUGCAGAUUGAAGGGACUGCCAGUGGGAG